rnacentral:rRNA from 1 species
UACGAAGGGGGCUAGCGUUGCUCGGAAUUACUGGGCGUAAAGCGCACGUAGGCGGCUUUCUAAGUCGGGUGUGAAAUCCUGGAGCUCAACUCCAGAACUGCCUUCGAUACUGGAGAGCUUGAGUCCGGGAGAGGUGAGUGGAACUGCGAGUGUAGAGGUGAAAUUCGUAGAUAUUCGCAAGAACACCAGUGGCGAAGGCGGCUCACUGGCCCGGUACUGACGCUGAGGUGCGAAAGCGUGGGGAGCAAACAGG